rnacentral:rRNA from 1 species
UACGGGGGGAGCAAGCGUUGUUCGGAUUUACUGGGCGUAAAGGGCGCGUAGGCGGCCAGAGCAAGUCAGUUGUGAAAUCUCCGAGCUUAACUCGGAAAGGUCAACUGAUACUGCUCGGCUAGAGUGCGGAAGGGGCAACUGGAAUUCUUGGUGUAGCGGUGAAAUGCGUAGAUAUCAAGAGGAACACCUGCGGCGAAGGCGGGUUGCUGGGCCGAUACUGACGCUGAAGCGCGAAAGCUAGGGGAGCGAACGGG